UACGGAGGGUGCUAGCGUUGUUCGGAAUCACUGGGCGUAAAGGGCGUGUAGGCGGUCUGUUAAGUCUGAUGUGAAAUCCCCUCGCUCAACGAGGGAACUGCGUCGGAUACUGGCAGACUUGAGUACCGGAGAGGAAGGUGGAAUUCCCGGUGUAGCGGUGAAAUGCGUAGAUAUCGAGAGGAACACCUGCGGCGAAGGCGGGUUGCUGGGCUGACACUGACGCUGAGGCGCGAAAGCUAGGGGAGCGAACAGG
rnacentral:rRNA from 1 species